GUGCCAGCAGCCGCGGUAAUACGAAGGGGGCUAGCGUUGCUCGGAAUUACUGGGCGUAAAGGGCGCGUAGGCGGCCCUGUUGGUCAGGCGUGAAAUUCCUGGGCUCAACCUGGGGGCUGCGCUUGAUACGGCGGGGCUGGAGGGCGGAAGAGGCUCGCGGAAUUCCCAGUGUAGAGGUGAAAUUCGUAGAUAUUGGGAAGAACACCGGUGGCGAAGGCGGCGAGCUGGUCCGUACCUGACGCUGAGGCGCGACAGCGUGGGGAGCAAACAGGAUUAGAA
rnacentral:rRNA from 1 species